rnacentral:lncRNA from 1 species
UUCCUCUUCCUAAUGUGUGUGGGAUUGGCUAAAGUUGACUCAAAAUAUUUCCCAUGUGCCUACACAUCACACACCAUAGUCUGUUAUGUCACACCAUAACUACACACUAAUACUAAUAAAAAUACUAAUAAAUGUUAGUAAUGCUACUUGCUACCACACGCAAACUCUGCUUGUACAUUUAAAGUGGAUAAGUCAAAGUCCCAGUUGUUAAAGGACGCACCAAAGAUGCUGACUCUGUGGUAAAAAUAUACCUGAAGGUGUGAGUAUGAGGUGGUUAGGUUCUUGAUGAAACUUUUCAGGAAAGGUAACUUCUUAGUAAUCGAUAGAGUUCAACUAGUGGAACGUAAUAAUCGUCUCGCCUUAUUUGGUGCUUUCCCCCUGUGACGUAGUCAUGGGUGAGUUGUAUAAGUACCAACAGUAGUAAGAUUAUCUAGGGAAUUUACCUUAUUCUACUCAAGCUGACACUGCUAGCUCCGGAGCUCUUUGAAAGACAUGAAGAACUUUGGUAUCGAGUGUCUUACACUGUUGAUGGUAGCUGUGAUGGUCUAUGCAGCACCAACCAACCCGUGUGAAGACAAAAGGCUGAAGCUGAAGCAAAUUAGAGAAAAUGCCAACAGGGCAAAAGAUAAUCUGCCUGACUUAACUGUGCCUAAGAUAGACAAAUGUGUGGUAAGUUGAAAACGUUUCAUAUUUUACUCUUCACGGUGUCCUUUGACCUCCAUAACACACAGCGGUUACCACGCGUUUCUCAUUCAGUCUCAUCUCCAGCAUGCUGGGCACCGGUGCUUAUCACUGUUUUCUCUUUGCAGGAAAAGUUCUUCUGCUUAGCCGACAAGGCGCUGACCAAAACUAUGGAAAAUUAUUCAAAUCAGAAUCUAACAAAACUCGAGCAUUCCCUGCAUGUGUACAGCAAGGAUGAAAACUGUCAUCUGCACACGCAAAGCCAAUUUAAUAUAAAAAAGUUUCUGGAUGAAAUUGUGCGUUGUGUUGACGUCGCCUUGAACAACAAGAGCAUCAUAUGUCCCCAUCAUAUUAAAUGAAGAAUUGUCCUCAAGUUUAUUGCAACUGUAAAUAUAUUUAUGGACUUAUUUAAUGACAUAUUUAUUACUUUUUUCACAUUUUCUAUUUAUAUACAAAUAAAUUAAAACAAAAAAGGUGCACUUGUCAUUGCUUUCAUUUUUACACCUAUUGACGUGUGUGCUUGUGUGUGUUUGUGUGUGUGUUAGUGUAUUUAUUACUCAUUACUGCCAUCAGUGUGUAACGUUUAUGGGAUAAUUAUGAACUUCAGCCAGGUAUGUUCAUGAAUUAGACUUGUGAUCACUGGAUUUAUAGCCUAUCUUAAUCCCUUUAUUUAAAAUUAAAUUAAUGUGCGCAUCAGUCUCAUGCUUAUUACCAAUAUAAAUGAUGAAAUUAUUAAAUGUUUUUUAAAACAUGUCAUUGAUAAAUAAACAAACAGGGCCUCCCUGAGUAGAGCGUAGGCUUCUAUGUCUGCCUGAGAAAGCGGUCUUUUGAUGAUGACCACUUCCCACGCAGGAAAGCAGAAAU